UAUGUAUAUGUUAAUUUACUUAGGAAAAUUAAGAAAGGUUGAUUGUAUUUCGGUAACUGCAAGUACUGUUUUCUUUUUUCAAUAAAAAUAUUUUCAAAAAAAAAAAAAAAAAAAAAAAAAAAAAAAAAAAAAAAAAGAAAUGGAAGGAGUAUGGCACAAGUAUAAACCUACCAAGACAAGGCCGUCCACCUAAACUCACAGGCCGAACAAGGAGAGCGCUGAUCAGAAAUGCAGCCAAGAGGCCCAUGGUGACUCUGGACGAGCUGCAGAGAUCUACAGCUCAGAUGGGGGAAUUUGACCAUAGGACAACUAUUAGUCACGCACUGCACAAAGUUGGCCUUUAUGGAAGAGUGGCAAGAAGAAAGCAGUUAACAGAAAACCAUAAGAAGUCCCGUUUGCAGUUUGCCACAAGCCAUGCGGGGGACCCAGCAAACAUGUGGAAGAAGGUGCUCUGGUCAGAUGAGACCAAAAUGGAACUUUUUGGCCAAAAUGCAAAACGCUAUGUGUGGCGGGAAACUAACACUGCACAUCACUCUGAACACACCAUCCCCACUGUCAAAUAUGGUGGUGGCAGCAUCAUGCUCUGGGGGUGCUUCUCUUCAGCAGGGACAGGGAAGCUGGUCAGAGUUGAUGGGAAGAUGGAUUGAGCCAAAUACAGGGCAAUCUUGGAAGAAAACCUCUUGGAGUCUGCAAAAGACUUGAGUACGGUGUACAUUUUAGGACAUCGUCAGGUCUCAAGAAAAAAGUUGUCAGGUAUCAGACAAAAAAUUGUCAGGUCUCAGUUCUCAAAAAAAAAGUUGUCAGGUAUCAGACAAAAAAUUGUCAGGUCUCAGUUCUCAAAAAAAAAUUGUCAGGUCUCAGACAAAAAAUUGUCAGGUCUCAGUUCUCAAAAAAAAGUUGUCAGGUAUCAGACAAAAAAUUGUCAGGUCUCAGUUCUCAAGAAAAAAGUUGUCAGGUAUCAGACAAAAAAUUGUCAGGUCUCAGUUCUCAAGAAAAAAGUUGUCAGGUCUCAGACAAAAAAUUGUCAGGUCUCAGUUCUCAAAAAAAAUUGUCAGGUAUCAGACAAAAAAUUGUCAGGUCUCAGUUCUCAAAAAAAAUUGUCAGGUAUCAGACAAAAAAUUGUCAGGUCUCAGUUCUCAAGAAAAAAGUUGUCAGGUAUCAGACAAAAAAUUGUCAGGUCUCAGUUCUCAAAAAAAAAAAGUUGUCAGGUCUCAGUUCUCAAGAAAAAAGUUGUCAGGUAUCAGACAAAAAAUGUCAGGUCUCAGUUCUCAAGAAAAAAGUUGUCAGGUAUCAGACAAAAAAAUGUCAGGUCUCAGUUCUCAAGAAAAAAGUUGUCAGGUAGAACACAAGGUACCAUACAGAGAGAAAAUCUUCCUGCAGGUGGCGGUGUUGUCAUGUCCCACCCAAUGACACGACAGCUCCCCAAAAAUGAAGCCAAAACGUCUCUAUCGCCCCCUGGUGUCUGGCUGCAGUAUAUACGUCAUAAACCCCACCUCCUCCACAUUAGCGGAUGGGACUGGGGUCAGACUAAAAUAAAGUUAUUCUCCUCAGAUAAUUUUUUUCCAAAGAUUCUUUCUUUUGUUAUCAAUAGUUCUCAUCACACUGAUUGAUGUUCAAGGGGUCUCCUCUCCCAUAAGUUUGAUUCUAAUUCCUACCGCGGUGAUGUUAAAUUGGGGUGAAACGUCAUCAUAACAGCUUUGACUGGCAGCUGCAGUUACGGAGAAACUUGCGUAUCUCUGUUCGGGAAUAGCAGAUAGAACGUAGGCUCUGAGAGGAGGGCCAGCGUUUACGCUACGAAAACACGACCAAGUGUUUUAACCUGACAGCCUGAGGUGUUCUUCAGUAAACUGGACUACCCGACAGAAGGACCCGAGGCCCUGCUGCACUUUUUCGGUAAGUUAAACGUGUUUGUCAGCUAAUCCGUAACUACCGUCCUUAGCUCGGUCCUGAGACCUAGCUAGCUAAGAUGAGGACUCGGCUGUCAGGGUUCGUUUAGCUAAUCUGUGCAGGUGAAUGAAUUUACACCGACUAAAGAAAUCAAGAGAAACGCUCCGGGCUACUCAGUCACUAAUUACUGUUACUGUACUUUUAUUACAAGUAUUAUACUGUAAAAUCAACAGGCUGCAUCCUGCUUCAGCUCCUGUGCAGAGCUGAUUAUUAAAUAUGUGCAAACAACAGCAUGUUUUCAGUCUCUUGCCACAUCUGUAAAGACAACUUUAAAAAAAAAAAAAAGAAGCUUGUACCUUGUAGCUCUUCAUUAAUCAGGAACUAUGGAUUAAAGUACUGUAGUGUACUGUAAUACUGAAAAAAAUGUAAGAGAACAACUUCAGAUCCUGAGUGUGUGAGGACCGAAGAAUCAGCUUUAUUUCAAUUUUGAGGGAUAAAAUUUAUAUUUGAGUUGGAUGGUUCUGUUCUCUUUGUGAUUACAGGAGCUGCCCUCAGAUUCAGACCUCAGCACCACCCCGUGACAGCAGACAGAUCAUCCAACAUGUUCACAUGUUAACUGCAAAAUGAACUGAUGAAAACAAUACAAAGGUUAAAGUACCACAUGUGCUGUAGUGAAAGCUGCAGCUGUUUUAUUGAUAAAGUUAAAGACAAAAAAACAAAAGGAUUAAUCACCCAUGUAACUGUGUCACUAUAUAUCAGCAUUAACAGGACCUCAGUUUUUAUCUCAGACCUGCACAGCUUCCGUUUUAAACACUUGAUGUACUCAGCUGUAUAAAGAGCACGUUUGAGUUUCUCUAGCACAAUUAAAUAAAACCUGAUGAAGGUCAAAGGUCACAGUUUUCUGCAGAUAGUGUGUUAUUUACCAUAAAGUGAUUCAGAGUUAUUCAUACCAGAGUAACCAGAGAGGAUCAUAUCUUUUUAAAUAUAUAACUUUCUACAGGACUGAAUAUAAUAUCUUUAUGUAAAAGUCCGGAGCCUCUGGGGAGUAUCCGAGUAUUUAUAACAUUACACAAACCAAAGGUCUCCAUCACAGUGUUCAUGAAAUGCUGGGUUUAUCCAUCUUCUGGGGCGGGCCUACGGAGGAGUGCUGAAGAUUUCCCUGUGAGGGAGCUGCUGGUGAAGAUCAUGAGUCCUGCUUGAUCAAUGCGAUGAGCUUCAGUGUUCCUGGUGUUUCUUAAAUGAUGCCUCUUUCAGUGGGUCAACAGAACUUCUGGCACAGGACAGCUGUGAUGAAAGAAAGGGAAGAAGUUUCUCCAAACCUCUGGACCCAGGAAACCCAGCUUGGUCCUGAUGGUCUCCCUCACUAGUUUCUCUCCAGGGUGAAGAGAUUUAAACAGUUUUAGAUCCAUUACACUCACAGUCUUAAAUGUUAAAAUCUCAAAGGACAGCAUUAUAUUUUUGAUAUUAACAGUAACUCUGGGCUUCUGUGGAGUGUGUAGCCGAUCUCAUCGCUGUCUAAAAAUGGAUUUUAAAAAAAACAUAAGAAGUGCUGAAUCCUUCAACAACACAGACUAUUAGAGUAGCAGCUGUCUGUGUGAAGCACUUGCUGCAGGGUUGCGCCAUGAAUGUAUUCAGCUGCCAAGAAAAAGCAGGACUCAGUGCGGGCAACUGCCAUGAGUCUGACGAUGUUGGGGUGAGACAGUCUCCUAAUAAAACAGAAACAUCUCCGAAUAAAAAACAAAAAAAUCACGUUUCAACACUGUCGCUAGCUAGAAUGAAUUAGCCAUACAAAAAUAGUACUGAUUUGAUUUCGUACAAAACUAGCUUUCCUUCUGAUAUGUAACUUUCACAACAUAACCGCAACUUAAUAUAAUACAACUGUGGCAAAAAUAUGAACAAAAGUUAAACUUACCUUGUGUCGUUAGGAG
ensembl:lncRNA